CGUACACUCCUGCGGGAGGCAGCAGUGGGGAAUAUUGGACAAUGGGCGCAAGCCUGAUCCAGCCAUGCCGCGUGAGUGAUGAAGGCCCUAGGGUUGUAAAGCUCUUUCACCGGUGAAGAUAAUGACGGUAACCGGAGAAGAAGCCCCGGCUAACUUCGUGCCAGCAGCCGCGGUAAUACGAAGGGGGCUAGCGUUGUUCGGAUUUACUGGGCGUAAAGCGAACGUAGGCGGACUAUUAAGUCAGGGGUGAAAUCCCGGGGCUCAACCCCGGAACUGCCUUUGAUACUGGUAGUCUUGAGUUCGAGAGAGGUGAGUGGAAUUCCGAGUGUAGAGGUGAAAUUCGUAGAUAUUCGGAGGAACACCAGUGGCGAAGGCGGCUCACUGGCUCGAUACUGACGCUGAGGUGCGAAAGCGUGGGGAGCAAACAGGAUUAGAAACCCCAGUAGUCCCAUGAU
rnacentral:rRNA from 1 species